AUUGAACGCUGGCGGCAGGCUUAACACAUGCAAGUCGAACGAUGAUUAUCUAGCUUGCUAGAUAUGAUUAGUGGCGGACGGGUGAGUAACAUUUAGGAAUCUGCCUAGUAGUGGGGGAUAGCUCGGGGAAACUCGAAUUAAUACCGCAUACGACCUACGGGUGAAAGGGGGCGCAAGCUCUUGCUAUUAGAUGAGCCUAAAUCAGAUUAGCUAGUUGGUGGGGUAAAGGCCCACCAAGGCGACGAUCUGUAACUGGUCUGAGAGGAUGAUCAGUCACACCGGAACUGAGACACGGUCCGGACUCCUACGGGAGGCAGCAGUGGGGAAUAUUGGACAAUGGGGGCAACCCUGAUCCAGCCAUGCCGCGUGUGUGAAGAAGGCCUUUUGGUUGUAAAGCACUUUAAGCAGGGAGGGGAGGCUAAUGGUUAAUACCCAUUAGAUUAGACGUUACCUGCAGAAUAAGCACCGGCUAACUCUGUGCCAGCAGCCGCGGUAAUACAGAGGGUGCGAGCGUUAAUCGGAAUUACUGGGCGUAAAGCGAGUGUAGGUGGCUCAUUAAGUCACAUGUGAAAUCCCCGGGCUUAACCUGGGAACUGCAUGUGAUACUGGUGGUGCUAGAAUAUGUGAGAGGGAAGUAGAAUUCCAGGUGUAGCGGUGAAAUGCGUAGAGAUCUGGAGGAAUACCGAUGGCGAAGGCAGCUUCCUGGCAUAAUAUUGACACUGAGAUUCGAAAGCGUGGGUAGCAAACAGGAUUAGAUACCCUGGUAGUCCACGCCGUAAACGAUGUCUACUAGCCGUUGGGGUCCUUGAGACUUUAGUGGCGCAGUUAACGCGAUAAGUAGACCGCCUGGGGAGUACGGCCGCAAGGUUAAAACUCAAAUGAAUUGACGGGGGCCCGCACAAGCGGUGGAGCAUGUGGUUUAAUUCGAUGCAACGCGAAGAACCUUACCUGGUCUUGACAUAGUGAGAAUCCUGCAGAGAUGCGGGAGUGCCUUCGGGAAUUCACAUACAGGUGCUGCAUGGCUGUCGUCAGCUCGUGUCGUGAGAUGUUGGGUUAAGUCCCGCAACGAGCGCAACCCUUUUCCUUGUUUGCCAGCGGGUUAAGCCGGGAACUUUAAGGAUACUGCCAGUGACAAACUGGAGGAAGGCGGGGACGACGUCAAGUCAUCAUGGCCCUUACGACCAGGGCUACACACGUGCUACAAUGGUAGGUACAGAGGGUUGCUACACAGCGAUGUGAUGCUAAUCUCAAAAAGCCUAUCGUAGUCCGGAUUGGAGUCUGCAACUCGACUCCAUGAAGUCGGAAUCGCUAGUAAUCGCAGAUCAGAAUGCUGCGGUGAAUACGUUCCCGGGCCU
rnacentral:rRNA from 1 species